GACGAACGCUGGCGGCGUGCCUAAUACAUGCAAGUCGAGCGAAGUUUUUCUGGUGCUUGCACCGGAAAAACUUAGCGGCGAACGGGUGAGUAACACGUAAAGAACCUGCCUCAUAGACUGGGACAACUAUUGGAAACGAUAGCUAAUACCGGAUAACAGCAUUAACUGCAUGGUUGAUGUUUAAAAGUUGGUUUUGCUAACACUAUGAGAUGGCUUUGCGGUGCAUUAGCUAGUUGGUGGGGUAAAGGCCUACCAAGGCGACGAUGCAUAGCCAACCUGAGAGGGUGAUCGGCCACACUGGGACUGAGACACGGCCCAGACUCCUACGGGAGGCAGCAGUAGGGAAUCUUCCGCAAUGGGCGAAAGCCUGACGGAGCAACGCCGCGUGAGUGAAGAAGGAUUUCGGUUCGUAAAGCUCUGUUGUUAGGGAAGAAUGAUUGUGUAGUAACUAUACACAGUAGAGACGGUACCUAACCAGAAAGCCACGGCUAACUACGUG
rnacentral:rRNA from 1 species